ACUCAUACCUUGUAGGGGAAAUACCAUGUUGUAAAAUUGGUUUUCCUAGGCGGAAGAGGAUCAUCCAUUGCACUUUUGGUGUGUUGUUGACCCAUAUGAUUUCCCCAAAUGUGGGGAACUCAACUACAUAAUUUGCAUUAAUGGGGGCAUUAUGUUUGUGAUUUUUCUG
rnacentral:snRNA from 1 species